rnacentral:rRNA from 1 species
UUAAGCGACUAAGCGUACACGGUGGAUGCCCUGGCAGUCAGAGGCGAUGAAGGACGUGCUAAUCUGCGAAAAGCGUCGGUAAGGUGAUAUGAACCGUUAUAACCGGCGAUGUCCGAAUGGGGAAACCCAGUGCAAUUCGUUGCACUAUCGUUAACUGAAUACAUAGGUUAACGAGGCGAACCGGGGGAACUGAAACAUCUAAGUACCCCGAGGAAAAGAAAUCAACCGAGAUUCCCCCAGUAGCGGCGAGCGAACGGGGAGCAGCCCAGAGUCUGAAUCAGCUUGUGUGUUAGUGGAACGGUCUGGAAAGUCCGACGGUACAGGGUGAUAGUCCCGUACACCAAAAUGCACAGGCUGUGAACUCGAAGAGUAGGGCGGGACACGUGGUAUCCUGUCUGAAUAUGGGGGGACCAUCCUCCAAGGCUAAAUACUCCUGACUGACCGAUAGUGAACCAGUACCGUGAGGGAAAGGCGAAAAGAACCCCGGCGAGGGGAGUGAAAAAGAACCUGAAACCGUGUACGUACAAGCAGUGGGAGCACCUUCGGGUGUGACUGCGUACCUUUUGUAUAAUGGGUCAGCGACUUAUAUUCUGUAGCAAGGUUAACCGUAUAGGGGAGCCGCAGGGAAACCGAGUCUUAACUGGGCGUUAAGUUGCAGGGUAUAGACCCGAAACCCGGUGAUCUAGCCAUGGGCAGGUUGAAGGUUGGGUAACACUAACUGGAGGACCGAACCGACUAAUGUUGAAAAAUUAGCGGAUGACUUGUGGCUGGGGGUGAAAGGCCAAUCAAACCGGGAGAUAGCUGGUUCUCCCCGAAAGCUAUUUAGGUAGCGCCUCGUGAACUCAUCUUCGGGGGUAGAGCACUGUUUCGGCUAGGGGGUCAUCCCGACUUACCAACCCGAUGCAAACUACGAAUACCGAAGAAUGUUAUCACGGGAGACACACGGCGGGUGCUAACGUCCGUCGUGAAGAGGGAAACAACCCAGACCGCCAGCUAAGGUCCCAAAGUCAUGGUUAAGUGGGAAACGAUGUGGGAAGGCACAGACAGCCAGGAUGUUGGCUUAGAAGCAGCCAUCAUUUAAAGAAAGCGUAAUAGCUCACUGGUCGAGUCGGCCUGCGCGGAAGAUGUAACGGGGCUAAACCAUGCACCGAAGCUGCGGCAGCGACACUAUGUGUUGUUGGGUAGGGGAGCGUUCUGUAAGCCUGCGAAGGUGUGCUGUGAGGCAUGCUGGAGGUAUCAGAAGUGCGAAUGCUGACAUAAGUAACGAUAAAGCGGGUGAAAAGCCCGCUCGCCGGAAGACCAAGGGUUCCUGUCCAACGUUAAUCGGGGCAGGGUGAGUCGACCCCUAAGGCGAGGCCGAAAGGCGUAGUCGAUGGGAAACAGGUUAAUAUUCCUGUACUUGGUGUUACUGCGAAGGGGGGACGGAGAAGGCUAUGUUAGCCGGGCGACGGUUGUCCCGGUUUAAGCAUGUAGGCUGGUUGUCCAGGCAAAUCCGGAUAAUCAAGGCUGAGGUGUGAUGACGAGGCACUACGGUGCUGAAGUAACAAAUGCCCUGCUUCCAGGAAAAGCCUCUAAGCAUCAGGUAACAUCAAAUCGUACCCCAAACCGACACAGGUGGUCAGGUAGAGAAUACCAAGGCGCUUGAGAGAACUCGGGUGAAGGAACUAGGCAAAAUGGUGCCGUAACUUCGGGAGAAGGCACGCUGGUGUGUAGGUGAAGUCCCUGCGGAUGGAGCUGAGACCAGUCGAAGAUACCAGCUGGCUGCAACUGUUUAUUAAAAACACAGCACUGUGCAAACACGAAAGUGGACGUAUACGGUGUGACGCCUGCCCGGUGCCGGAAGGUUAAUUGAUGGGGUUAUCCGUAAGGAGAAGCUCUUGAUCGAAGCCCCGGUAAACGGCGGCCGUAACUAUAACGGUCCUAAGGUAGCGAAAUUCCUUGUCGGGUAAGUUCCGACCUGCACGAAUGGCGUAAUGAUGGCCAGGCUGUCUCCACCCGAGACUCAGUGAAAUUGAACUCGCUGUGAAGAUGCAGUGUACCCGCGGCAAGACGGAAAGACCCCGUGAACCUUUACUAUAGCUUGACACUGAACAUUGAGCCUUGAUGUGUAGGAUAGGUGGGAGGCUUUGAAGCGUGGACGCCAGUCUGCGUGGAGCCAACCUUGAAAUACCACCCUUUAAUGUUUGAUGUUCUAACGUUGGCCCCUUAUCGGGGUUGCGGACAGUGUCUGGUGGGUAGUUUGACUGGGGCGGUCUCCUCCCAAAGCGUAACGGAGGAGCACGAAGGUUAGCUAAUCCUGGUCGGACAUCAGGAGGUUAGUGCAAUGGCAUAAGCUAGCUUGACUGCGAGCGUGACGGCGCGAGCAGGUGCGAAAGCAGGUCAUAGUGAUCCGGUGGUUCUGAAUGGAAGGGCCAUCGCUCAACGGAUAAAAGGUACUCCGGGGAUAACAGGCUGAUACCGCCCAAGAGUUCAUAUCGACGGCGGUGUUUGGCACCUCGAUGUCGGCUCAUCACAUCCUGGGGCUGAAGUAGGUCCCAAGGGUAUGGCUGUUCGCCAUUUAAAGUGGUACGCGAGCUGGGUUUAGAACGUCGUGAGACAGUUCGGUCCCUAUCUGCCGUGGGCGCUGGAGAAUUGAGGGGGGCUGCUCCUAGUACGAGAGGACCGGAGUGGACGCAUCACUGGUGUUCGGGUUGUCAUGCCAAUGGCACUGCCCGGUAGCUAAAUGCGGAAGAGAUAAGUGCUGAAAGCAUCUAAGCACGAAACUUGCCCCGAGAUGAGUUCUCCCUGAGACUUUAAGUCUCCUGAAGGAACGUUGAAGACGACGACGUUGAUAGGCCGGGUGUGUAAGCGCAGCGAUGCGUUGAGCUAACCGGUACUAAUGAACCGUGAGGCUUAACCUU